AGUGAACGCUGGCGGUAGGCCUAACACAUGCAAGUCGAACGGCAGCACAGUAAGAGUUUGCUCUUACGGGUGGCGAGUGGCGGACGGGUGAGGAAUACAUCGGAAUCUACUUUUUCGUGGGGGAUAACGUAGGGAAACUUACGCUAAUACCGCAUACGACCUACGGGUGAAAGCAGGGGAUCUUGGGACCUUGUGCGAUUGAAUUAGCCGAUGUCGGAUUAGCUAGUUGGCGGGGUAAAGGCCCACCAAGGCGACGAUACGUAGCUGAUCUGAGAGGAUGAUCGGCCACACUGGAACUGAGACACGGUCCAGACUCCUACGGGAGGCAGCAGUAGGGAAUAUUGGGCAAUGGGCGCAAGCCUGAUCCAGCCAGACCGCGUGGGUGAAGAAGGCCUUCGGGUUGUAAAGCCCUUUUGUUGGGAAAGAAAAGCAGCAGGUUAAUACCCCGCUGUUCUGACGGUACCCAAUGAAUAAGCACCGGCUAACUUCGUG
rnacentral:rRNA from 1 species